rnacentral:tRNA from 1 species
UUCCUUGUAGUGCAAUGGAUAGCGUGUUGAACUACUAAUCCAAAGGUCGUGGAUUCGAAUCCCACCUGGGAUG